CGUAGGGGGCAAGCGUUGUCCGGAUUUAUUGGGCGUAAAGAGCGUGCAGGCGGCCAUACAGGUCAGCUGUGAAAACUCGAGGCUCAACCUCGAGACGUCGGUUGAAACCGUAUGGCUAGAGUCCGGAAGAGGAGAAUGGAAUUCCCGGUGUAGCGGUGAAAUGCGCAGAUAUCGGGAGGAACACCGGUGGCGAAGGCGGUUCUCUGGGCCUUACCUGACGCUGAGGAGCGAAAGCGUGGGGAGCGAACAGG
rnacentral:rRNA from 1 species